UGGGGAAUAUUGCACAAUGGGCGCAAGCCUGAUGCAGCCAUGCCGCGUGUAUGAAGAAGGCCUUCGGGUUGUAAAGUACUUUCAGUCGGGAGGAAGGUGGUAAGGUUAAUAACCUUAUCAAUUGACGUUACCGACAGAAGAAGCACCGGCUAACUCCGUGCCAGCAGCCGCGGUAAUACGGAGGGUGCAAGCGUUAAUCGGAAUUACUGGGCGUAAAGCGCACGCAGGCGGUUGAUUGAGUCAGAUGUGAAAUCCCCGGGCUUAACCCGGGGAUUGCAUCUGAUACUGGUCAGCUAGAGUCUUGUAGAGGGGGGUAGAAUUCCAUGUGUAGCGGUGAAGUGCGUAGAGAUGUGGAGGAAUACCGGUGGCGGAGGCGGCCCCCUGGACAAAGACUGACGCUCAGGUGCGAAAGCGUGGGGAGCAAACAGG
rnacentral:rRNA from 1 species